GCUGAAAUAGCUCAAUUGGUAGAGCAACUGAAUCGUAAUCAGUAGGUUGCGGGUUCGAUUCCUGCUUUCAGCACCA
rnacentral:tRNA from 1 species